rnacentral:rRNA from 1 species
CUACGUGCCAGCAGCCGCGGUAAUACGUAGGUGGCACGCGUUGUCCGGAAUUAUUGGGCGUAAAGCGCGCGCAGGCGGAUUGGUCAGUCUGUCUUAAAAGUUCGGGGCUUAACCCCGUGAUGGGAUGGAAACUGCCAAUCUAGAGUAUCGGAGAGGAAAGUGGAAUUCCUAGUGUAGCGGUGAAAUGCGUAGAUAUUAGGAAGAACACCAGUGGCGAAGGCGACUUUCUGGACGAAAACUGACGCUGAGGCGCGAAAGCCAGGGGAGCGAACGGGAUUAGAUACCCCGGUAGUCCUGGCCGUAAACGAUGGGUACUAGGUGUAGGAGGUAUCGACCCCUUCUGUGCCGGAGUUAACGCAAUAAGUACCCCGCCUGGGGAGUACGACCGCAAGGUCGAAACUCAAAGGAAUUGACGGGGGCCCGCACAAGCGGUGGAGUAUGUGGUUUAAUUCGACGCAACGCGAA